UGGCCGCGGUAUUUUGACCGUGCGAAGGUAGCAUAAUCAAUAGUCCAUUAAUUGUGGUCUGGAAUGAAGGGUUUGACGAUUAUUAUCUUUCUUAAUAUCAAGGAUGAAUUUUAAUUAUUAGUGAAAAUGCUAAUAUGUUUAAGGGGGACGAGAAGACCCUGUGGAGUUUUAUAUUUAAGUACUAAUCUUAGUAAUUAAAGUAUUUAUUAUAUUUUACUGGGGCGGUAAUAAAUUUAUCAUUUAUAAUUAUGGCUUGAUAAAAGGGUUUUGAUCCAUUAAUAUUGAUUAUUAGAUUAAAUUACCCCAGGGAUAACAGCGUAAUUUUAUUUCAGAGUUCUUAUCGACAAUAAAGUUUACGACCUCGAUGUUGGAUUAGGAUUCCCUUACGGCGCAGAAGUUUAAUAGGGUGGUCUGUUCGACCAUUAUACUCCUACA
rnacentral:rRNA from 1 species